rnacentral:rRNA from 1 species
CAGAGUAUCAAUUGGAGGGCAAGUCUGGUGCCAGCAGCCGCGGUAAUUCCAGCUCCAAUAGCGUAUAUUAAAAUUGUUGCAGUUAAAAAGCUCGUAGUUGAAUUUCUGCUGCAUUGCUUUUGCUCCUUUACGAGUCUUUGCAUUGUGGCUUAUUUCGGACUUUGUUUUACAAUGUCCGGAUGUUUACUUUGAGAAAAUUAGAGUGCUCAAAGCAGGCUUUCGCCUUGAAUAGUUUAGCAUGGAAUAAUAAAGUAGGACUUUGGUUCUAUUUUGUUGGUUUUAGGUACCAAAGUAAUGGUUAAUAGGAACAGUUGGGGGCAUUCGUAUUUAACUGUCAGAGGUGAAAUUCUUAGAUUUGUUAAAGACGAACUACUGCGAAAGCAUUUGCCAAGGAUGUUUUCAUUAAUCAAGAACGAAAG